rnacentral:rRNA from 1 species
GGCGAACGGGUGAGUAACGCGUGGGAAACCUGCUUCCGACUGGGGAAUAACAGCUCUAACGGGCUGCUAAUACCGCAUAACACCCUCGAACGCAUGUUCGAGGGUCAAAGAUGGCCUCUACUUGUAAGCUGUCGGUUGGAAAUGGUCCCGCGUCCUAUUAGCUUGUUGGUAGGGUAACGGCCUACCAAGGCGACGAUGGGUAGCCGGCUUGAGAGAGUGGUCGGCCACACUGGGACUGAGAUACGGCCCAGACUCCUACGGGAGGCAGCAGUCGAGAGGCUUCGGCAAUGGGGGAAACCCUGACCGAGCGACGUCGCGUGGGUGAUGAAGAUCCUUGGAUCGUAAAACCCUGUCAGGUGGGAAGAAACACCAUUCGGCGAAUAACCGAGUGGCUUGACGGUACCACCAGAGGAAGCUCCGGCUAACUCCGUGCCAGCAGCCGCGGUAACACGGGGGGAGCAAGCGUUGUUCGGAUUCAUUGGGCGUAAAGAGCUCGUAGGUGGCUCCGUAAGUCAGGGGUGAAAUACAAUGGCUCAACCAUUGACACGCCUUUGAAACUACGGAGCUUGAGUUCGGGAGAGGAAAGUGGAAUUCCUGGAGUAGCGGUGAAAUGCGUAGAUAUCAGGAGGAACACCGGUG